UUUACUAGCAAGUUGAUAUGGGUUUCACUGUUAUGUUUUUGAUGGGACAUUAUCAUUUUAGAGAAGUUUUAGCAUGUUCAAUGGUAUGGCCCUGAGAGAGUCUCUUUUAAAUUUUAUACUAAUAAAUUUUGUGAAUUUGUAUAGUUUAGAGAUUAUGAUGGGUCCUUAUAUUUUUUGGUGUCUAAUAGUGGAAUCUUAAAUUGGGUCUCUUUGAGAAAAAAAAUGUUGAAGAUCAAUUGAUUUGAGAGAGAUCAGAAGAAAAACAGAGAAGAGCAGCUCGAGAAAGAGAUGGGAAAGGGAAAAAAAAAUUGUUUUCUCAAACUCACGACCAAUCAGGCCGUGACACGUCAAGUCCCUUUAGUUUCACAAAAACCUCUUAAUUUAGGAACGUUUUGAUUUAAUUUUGGGUUUUUAUGGGAAGAGUCUUUUGCUGUAGAGCUCUUUAAAGCUCUCCAUUGGACCUGCUCUAUUAUAGUUUUGUGUUCUGCCCCUUCACUCUUUAUUUUAGCGAUUUUAGCGAUCACUAAAUAAUUUUUCCUUUCGACGUGGAAGUUUCUCUCAUUAACAUGAACUUUACAAUGUUUUUAUUAGGGGUGUCAAAAUAGGUCAAAAUUCAUGGGUCAACUCAACUCAACUCAACUCAUGAACUCUAAUGAGUUAGAAAAUUUUGACUCAAAUGAGUUGAUGGGUCAAAUGAGUUAUUGGGUCAAUUGGUUUGAUGGGUAAAAUGAGUUGGGUUGUAAUGGUUAAUGGUUUCAAUGGUUUAUCCAAUUAACCCAUCAAGUUUUGUAAAUUGAAUUAAACCAACUAAAAUCUUUAAACCAAUGUCAAUUUAAGUUUAACCAACACAUCUAAACCAAUUUAAUAAAACAUUAUUUUUCCAAAUUUCUUAAAUAUACAAGCGAUGAAAUUGAGAAAAAGUAAACUCGUAAUUUUUCCACAAAAAACAUAAACCCGUGAUUUUUCCGCCAAAAACGUAAACCCGUGAUUUUCCCGCCAAUAACGUAAACCCGUCAUUUUCCCGCCAAAAAUGAAAACCUUUGAUUUUUCCGCCAAAAACGUAAACCCGUGAUUUUCCCGCCAAAAACGUAAAUCCGUGAUUAUCCCGUCAAAAACGUAAACCCGUGAUUUUCCCGCCAAAAACACUAUCCUAAGUUUGAUGAUAGUGAAUUAAUAAUUAUUAAUAAUGAUAAUUAUUUAUUAUUAUUUUAUAAUAAUAAUGAAUUAAAUUAUUACUUAAAUGGGUUAACCCAUUUAACAACUCAACCCAUCAAAUUAAAUGAGUUAUGGAUCAACCCAUAACUCAUUUAACCAUUUUGACACUUCUAGUUUUUAUCUUUCCUACCCGUGGACAAAAAUCUAUUAGGAUAAUAUUGAUAUUGGAGGAUAGAAACAUGGGCAUUGAUGAUGAUCUGUUAAAGCUU
rnacentral:sRNA from 1 species